rnacentral:rRNA from 1 species
UGAGGAAUAUUGGUCAAUGGACGCAAGUCUGAACCAGCCAAGUAGCGUGCAGGAUGACGGCCCUAUGGGUUGUAAACUGCUUUUAUAUGGGGAUAAAGUGGGGGACGUGUCCCUUAUUGCAUGUACCAUAUGAAUAAGGACCGGCUAAUUCCGUGCCAGCAGCCGCGGUAAUACGGAAGGUCCAGGCGUUAUCCGGAUUUAUUGGGUUUAAAGGGAGCGUAGGCUGUUUGUUAAGCGUGUUGUGAAAUGUAAGAGCUCAACUUUUAGAUUGCAGCGCGAACUGGCAGACUUGAGUGCGCACAACGUAGGCGGAAUUCAUGGUGUAGCGGUGAAAUGCUUAGAUAUCAUGACGAACUCCGAUUGCGAAGGCAGCUUACGGGAGCGCAACUGACGCUAAAGCUCGAAGGUGCGGGUAUCGAACAGG